UGUGUUGCAAUGAUUAUAAAAAACUUAUUCUAUCUGACUGUUAUGUGUUUAUUAGCAUGACUAGCUCCUUACCACCCAUAGAAUAUGACCAUCA